UGGCUGUCCAGAUCACGGAUCCCGAAGGCAAGCCGAAGAAGACACACAUCCAAGACAACCAUGACGGCACGUAUACAGUGGCCUACGUGCCAGACGUGACAGGUCGCUACACCAUCCUCAUCAAGUACGGUGGUGACGAGAUCCCCUUCUCCCCGUACCGCGUGCGUGCCGUGCCCACCGGGGACGCCAGCAAGUGCACUGUCACAGGUGCUGGCAUCGGCCCCACCAUUCAGAUUGGGGAGGAGACGGUGAUCACUGUGGACACUAAGGCGGCAGGCAAAGGCAAAGUGACGUGCACCGUGUGCACGCCUGAUGGCUCAGAGGUGGAUGUGGACGUGGUGGAGAAUGAGGACGGCACUUUCGACAUCUUCUACACGGCCCCCCAGCCGGGCAAAUACGUCAUCUGUGUGCGCUUUGGUGGCGAGCACGUGCCCAACAGCCCCUUCCAAGUGACGGCUCUGGCUGGGGACCAGCCCUCGGUGCAGCCCCCUCUACGGUCUCAGCAGCUGGCCCCACAGUACACCUACGCCCAG
rnacentral:lncRNA from 1 species